rnacentral:RNase_P_RNA from 1 species
GGAGUCGGCCAGACAGUCGCCGCCGCGAGUGGUAUGCGGGGGAGGAAAGUCCGGGCUCCGCAGGGCAGUGUGCCAGCUAACGGCUGGGCGGCGUGAGCCGACGGAAAGUGCAACAGAGAGCAGACCGCCGAUGGCCUUCGGGCACAGGCAAGGGUGAAACGGUGCGGCAAGAGCGCACCGCGAGUCGGGCAACCGACCGGCACGGCAAACCCCACACGGAGCAAGGCCAAAUAGGGAAGGAGGGUGGCAACACCCGACACGCGGCCCGCGUGCCUUCCGGGUAGGCUGCUGGAGGCGGCGGGUGACCGCCGUCCUAGAGGAAUGGCUGUCGGGGCGCCGCAAGGCGUUCGCACAGAACCCGGCUUAUCGGCCGACUCCACUU